AGAGUUUGAUCCUGGCUCAGGACGAACGCUGGCGGCGUGCCUAAUACAUGCAAGUCGAACGAACCGCGACUGAGUGCUUGCUUUUGGGCAAGGUGAGUGGCGAACGGGUGAGUAACACGUGGGUUACCUACCUCAUAGUGGGGGAUAACAGUCGGAAACGACUGCUAAUACCGCAUAGGACAUAGGAUCACAUGAUCCAGUGAGGAAAGGUGGCGCAAGCUAUCGGUUAGAGAUGGACCCGCGUAGCUUAGCUAGUUGGAGGUACGGCCUACCAAGGAGAUGAUGCCUAGCUGACCUGAGAGGGUGAUCGGCCACAUUUGGACUGAGACACGGACUAAACUCCUACGGGAGGCAGCAGUAGGUUAUCUUCCGCAAUGGACGCUAGUCUAACGAAGCAACGCCGCGUGAGUAAAGAUGCUCUUCGGAUCGUAAAGCUCUGUUGCUAGAGAAGAACAGCGAAUAGAGUAACUGUUAUGCGUGUGACGCUAUCUAACCAGAAAGCCACGGCUAACUACGUGCCAGCGGCCGCGUAAAUACGUAGGUGGCGAGCGUUGUCCGGAUUUAUUGGGCGUAAAGGGAGUGUAGGCGGACUUUUAAGUCUGAUGUGAAAGCCCACGGCUCAUCCGUGGAGGUUCAUUGGGAAUUGGGAGACUUGAGUGCGGAAGAGGGGAGCGGAAUUCCAUGUGUAGAGGUGAAUUGCGUGAUAUAUGGAGGAACACCAGUGCCGAAGCUCUUCUUCUGGUCUGUAACUGACGCUGAGACUCGAAAGCGUGCGGAGCAACUGGAUUAGAUACCCUGCUAGUCCACACCGUAAACGAUGAGUGCUAAGUGUUGGAGCGGGUCC
rnacentral:rRNA from 1 species